CGGUACGCGUAACACGUGAGCAACCUACCUUCGAGUUCGGGAUAGCCCUGGGAAACCAGGAUUAAUACCGGAUGUGGUCACGACGGGACAUCCCGACGUGAAAAAAGGCGCAAGCCGCUCGAUGACGGGCUCGCGGCCCAUUAGCUUGUUGGUGGGGUAACGGCCUACCAAGGCGAUGAUGGGUAGCUGGUCUGAGAGGACGAUCAGCCACACUGGGACUGAGACACGGCCCAG
rnacentral:rRNA from 1 species